rnacentral:misc_RNA from 1 species
UGAAGUCGUAACAAGGUAGCCGUACCGGAAGGUGCGGCUGGAUCACCUCCUUUCUAAGGAGCACUUCUUACCAAGUCCUUCGGGACGAGGUCAGAGGCCAGUACAUCAGCGAACGUCUGAUGCUGGUUGCUCAUGGGUGGAACGUUGACUACUCGGCAUCUUCAGCCGGCUCGGGCUGCAAGUACUGCUCUUCGGAGCGUGGAACGCAGACUACGAGAGGAUGAGGUGUCGGGCACGCUGUUGGGUGUCUGAGGGCACGGCCGUAUGGCUGCCUUCAGUGCCGGCCCCAGUGCACUCGGGAUGUUGUCCGGGGGUGAUGGGUGGUUGGUCGUUGUUUGAGAACUGCACAGUGGACGCGAGCAUCUGUGGCCAAGUUUUUAAGGGCGCACGGUGGAUGCCUUGA